rnacentral:rRNA from 1 species
CAGUAGCCGCGGGAAUACGUAGGGUGCAAGCGUUAAUCGGAAUUACUGGGCGUAAAGCGUGCGUAGGCGGUGAGUUAAGUCUGCUGUGAAAUCCCCGGGCUCAACCUGGGAAUGGCAGUGGAUACUGGCUCGCUAGAGUGUGUCAGAGGAUGGUGGAAUUCCCGGUGUAGCGGUGAAAUGCGUAGAGAUCGGGAGGAACAUCAGUGGCGAAGGCGGCCAUCUGGGACAACACUGACGCUGAGGCACGAAAGCGUGGGGAGCAAACAGGAUUAGAUACCCCGGUAGUCCCUGUCUCUUAUAC